CAGUAGCCGCGGUAAUACGAAGGGUGCAAGCGUUAAUCGGAAUUACUGGGCGUAAAGCGCGCGUAGGUGGUUUGGUAAGAUGGAUGUGAAAUCCCGGGCUCAACCUGGGAACUGCAUCCAUAACUGCCUGACUAGAGUACGGUAGAGGGUGGUGGAAUUUCCUGUGUAGCGGUGAAAUGCGUAGAUAUAGGAAGAAACACCAGUGGCGAAGGCGACCACCUGGACUGAUACUGACACUGAGGUGCGAAAGCGUGGGGAGCAAACAGGAUUAGAUACCCGCGUAGUCCCUGUCUCUUAUACA
rnacentral:rRNA from 1 species